rnacentral:rRNA from 1 species
UAAAAUAAUUAAGGGCACACAAAGGAUGCCUAGGUAGUAAGAGCCGAUGAAGGACGUGGUAAGCUGCGAUAAGCCUAGAUAAGUUGCAAUCGAACGUAAGAGUCUAGGAUUUCCGAAUGGAGCAAUCUAUUAAGAUGGAGUCUUAAUACGAAAGAGGGAACCGCGUGAACUGAAACAUCUAAGUAACGCGAGGAAAAGAAAGUAAAAACGAUACCCAAAGUAGCGGCGAGCGAAAUGGGUCAAGCCUAAACCUUAAAUAUGUCAAGGAUACAGCCGUUGUAUUUAGGGGGUUGAGGGACAGAGUAGUGAAGAACUGUAAGAUAUUCAAUAUAGUGUAUUGAUGAAUUGGAAUUGUCUGGAAAGGCGAACCGUAGAAGGUGAAAGUCCUGUACAAGUAAAUCCUUACACAUAUAACUCUGCUCCCAAGUAACAUGGAACACGAGGAAUUCUGUGUGAAUCUGUGAGGACCAUAUCUCAUAAGGCUAAAUACUCUUACUAACCGAUAGCGCAUAGUACCGUGAGGGAAAGGUGAAAAGAACCCCUGGAGGGGAGUGAAAUAGAACCUGAAAUUGUGUGCUUACAAGCGGUCAGAGCCAGUGAUGGUGAUGGCGUGCCUUUUGGAGAAUGAUCCUGCGAGUUACGUUAAACGGCGAGGUUAAGUAUAACGGAGCCGAAGGGAAACCAAGUCUUAAUAGGGCGAUUUAGUCGUUUGGCGUAGACGCGAAACCUGGUGAUCUAAACCUGUCCAGGAUGAAGCUGUGGUAAGACACAGUGGAGGUCCUAACCCACCGCCGUUGAAAAGUUGGGGGAUGAGGUAGGUUUAGGGGUGAAAAGCCAAUCGAACCAGGAGAUAGCUCGUUCUCUCCGAAAUGCAUCUAGGUGCAGCCUUGAGUGUUCAAUUAUGGGGGUAGAGCACUGAAUGAUCUAGGGGGCGUAUUGCUUACUGAAAUCAAUCAAACUCCGAAUACCAUAAUUUAGAGCUCAGGAGUGAGACUAUGGGAGUUAACUUCCAUUGUCGAAAGGGAAACAACCCAGACCACCAGCUAAGGUCCCUAAUUAUAACUAAGUGGGAAAGGAGGUGGAGAUUCACAAACAACUAGGAGGUUGGCUUAGAAGCAGCCAUACCUUUAAAGAGUGCGUAAUAGCUCACUAGUCGAGAGUCUCUGCGCCGACAAUGUAACGGGGCUAAGUUAUAAACCGAAGCUGUGGAAUCCGUAAGGAUUGGUAGGAGAGCGUUCUGUAGGCCGUUGAAGGAGAAGGGUAACUGACUCUGGAGGUAUCAGAAGUGAGAAUGCAGGAAUAAGUAGCGAGAAAGGGGGCGAGAAUCCCCCUCGCCGGAAGACCAAGGUUUUCAGGGUAAAGCUUGUCUUCCCUGAGUAAGCCGGGACCUAAGCCCAGGCUAUAAUGCGUAGGCGAAUGGAAAACAGAUUAAUAUUUCUGUGCCAGUCAUAUAUUGUGAUGGAGGGACGCAGAAGGGUAUGCGCGCGGACGAACGGAAGUGUCCGUAGAAGUAUGUAGGAUGACUUGAUAGGAAAAUCCAUUGAGUUAUAUCUGAGGUAUGAUAUACAGUCGUAAGAUGAAUGUGCAAAUCCCACGCUGCCAAGAAAAGCUUCUAACGUUAAUAUUUGACUGCCCGUACUGCAAACCGACACAGGUGGUCAGGAUGAGAAAUCUAAGGCGGACAGGCUAACUCUCGUUAAGGAACUCUGCAAAAUAACCUCGUAACUUCGGGAGAAGAGGAGCCCUUGAGGGUCAGUAUCCACGCGAUACAAAGCGCUCGAGGGUCGCAGUGAAGAGGCUCAAGCAACUGUUUAACAAAAACACAGGUCUAUGCUAAGCUGGAAGGCGAUGUAUAUGGGCUGACACCUGCCCAGUGCUGGAAGGUUAAGAGGAGGAGUGAGAGCUCCGAAUUGAAGCCCCAGUGAACGGCGGCCGUAACUAUAACGGUCCUAAGGUAGCGAAAUUCCUUGUC